rnacentral:rRNA from 1 species
UUCGCAAUGCCCGAAAGGGUGACGAAGCGACGCCGCGUGAGUGAGGAAGGCCUUCGGGUUGUAAAGCUCUGUCAGGAGUUAAGAAAUGUAAGUGUGUUAAUACCACAUUUAUUUGACGAAGGCUCCAAAGGAAGCCACGGCUAACUCUGUGCCAGCAGCCGCGGUAAUACAGAGGUGGCAAGCGUUGUUCGGAAUUAUUGGGCGUAAAGAGCACGUAGGUGGGUUUGUAAGUCAGAUGUGAAAGCCUUCUGUUCAACGGAAGAAUUGCAUCUGAAACUGCGAGUCUUGAGUGUAGGAGGGGAGAAUGGAACUUCUGGUGGAGCGGUGAAAUGCGUAGAUAUCAGAAGGAACGCCGGCGGCGAAAGCGAUUCUCUGGCCUAUUACUGACACUCAGUGUGCGAAAGCUAGGGGAGCAAACGGGAUUAGAUACCCCGGUAGUCCUAGCUGUAAACGAUGGGCACUAAGUAGAGGGGUUUUA